UCCAAUUUGGAAAAAUAUUGGAGUGACGUUUGAAUAAUCUGAAAUUUUUAGAUUUCUUUUCUCACUUUUUUGGGAGGUUUUGCUUCUCUUGCACAGAUGUCGCUUGCACUUCAGUUGCGUGGUUGCCAAACGUUAUAUCGAAAUAUAUUUCAUUUCAUUAUGAAUAUAUAAAAUUAAAGGUAUACCAAAUUAAAAAUUAUGUAAUUUAUAAACAUGAAAUAGAUAUGUUAAAUUAAUAUAUAAAUAUUUAACUUAAUACGUUCAUUAUUAUUUUAUUAAUUUAUCGUCACACGUCAUUUACCAGUUGCCUAAUUACGAAAAGUUUUAUAUGACAUUAACCUCAAAAAUGAUCUUUGAAAAUUGUUGAAAACAAACAACAACAAACAGAGCAACAAAUGAACAAAUAACUACAUAAUGACUGAGAAUGAUAAGUGAUAAUAAUAACUUUAAUGAUAUGAAGGCUGAUGAAGUUUUAGACAACCAAUACAAGAUUUAGAACUUGACAUCGUGAUAAACAAAUUGUACAUUCAGGAACUCGUUUAAAUAUUAUAGGUUGAUUGACGAAUACUCUACAGUUGAUUAGAGCCCAUGAUGAU
rnacentral:lncRNA from 1 species